rnacentral:rRNA from 1 species
GACGAACGCUGGCGGCGUGCUUAACACAUGCAAGUCGAACGCUGAAGCUCAGCUUUUGUUGGGUGGAUGAGUGGCGAACGGGUGAGUGACACGUGAGUAACCUGCCUCCUUCUUUGGGAUAACGCCCGGAAACGGGUGCUAAUACUGGAUAUUCACUGGUCUUCGCAUGGGGGUUGGUGGAAAGGGUUUUUCUGGUGGGGGAUGGGCUCGCGGCCUAUCAGCUUGUUGGUGGGGUGAUGGCCUACCAAGGCUUUGACGGGUAGCCGGCCUGAGAGGGUGACCGGUCACAUUGGGACUGAGAUACGGCCCAGACUCCUACGGGAGGCAGCAGUGGGGAAUAUUGCACAAUGGGCGCAAGCCUGAUGCAGCGACGCCGCGUGAGGGAUGGAGGCCUUCGGGUUGUGAACCUCUUUCGCUCAUGGUCAAGCCGCAACAAUGGUUGUGGUGAGGGUAGUGGGUAAAGAAGCGCCGGCUAACUACGUG